CCGAGUUUACAACUCCCAAACCCCUGUGAACAUACCACUUGUUGCCUAGGCGGAUCGGCCCGCUCCCGGUAAAACGGGACGGCCCGCCAGAGGACCCCUAAACUCUGUUUCUAUAUGUAACUUCUGAGUAAAACCAUAAAUAAAUCA
rnacentral:misc_RNA from 1 species